AAAAAUGAUAUUUUCUUUCUUACAUUCAUAUUUUCUAUUUUGAUUUGUGUUCUUACCGAGCUUCCAUGAUUAUGUAACAUAUGACCGAAAUAACGAUCAUAGAACACAAAAUAUAGUUCGUUAGAGUUCUAUCGAAUAAAAAAUUAGGAACAAUAUCAAAAAUAAUAUAAGAUAUAGAUAUUUAAUUAAAAAGGUUAACAAAACAAAAAACACGAAACAGGUGUAAAAUAAAGGUAAUUUAGAGUGGAAAGUUAACUUAAAUGAAGACACGAAGAGCGGAGUAAACUACAUCCGUGUUGUGAUUUUGUCGCCAUCAGCGAAGGAGAAACUAGCGUUGGUCUUGCCUACUAAGUUGAAAACGCAAUUGUUGAAUACAGAUUUCGACAAAAAUUCAAAGGAUCUGAGAGAAUUGCUGGAGGAUAUGUUGCGUCAAGUUAACGUUAUGCUCUUAGUCAGGUUUUUGGAAAGAAACAACGGCAUGUUCAUCAUUAGGACUCGCGAUUGUAGCCAUGCAGACGAUUCGAGACAGUAGAACAGAUUUAGACAAAGUGCAGGAUUUUAAUGAAGACUCGCACCGAAACCCUCACAUAAACAUAUAAAUUUUACGAGCCUCGAAACCAGCCUCGUUUAUGAUCAUGCCGAGUCAUAGCCGUGAUGGUUGCCAGGAAACAACAGGUUAACUUAUCAUCAUAAAGUAAAUAGGCUUAUAACUCUGCCUACAUUUUUUCGCUUCCAAUAUCAUAGAACUUUAUUUUAUAAUUCGUCAUGCAGAAGUUGCAGACGGUAUUUAAAACUGUACAAAAUGAAACAAUAGAAUGAUAUGUUUAAUGUUUCUCUUUUAUAAAUUGAUGAAAUUCUUGUUUGUUUACAAAAUAAACUCUGUAUAAAUAUC